rnacentral:misc_RNA from 1 species
CAAAUAUUCAAACAUCUUCUUCUUUCACUCUCAUCACAUCAGUCUCUCUGUCUCUCACUCUCACUUCACUAGUAUUCACUGUAUCUCUUCUUUCCUUGCAAUUCCAUCUCUCUCUGCUAGAGCCACCAUUUCUUGCAGGGAAAACAAAAUUAAAAAUGGUGGCAUGCAUCAAAAGUUUUCCCAUUUCUAAUUCCCAUUUUACCCCUAUCUUAUUCACUUAUUUACUCCUCCUCUCCUUCUCCGCCUCAACCACUCCCAUUCUAGCCAUUAACAUCACCACUCUCCUUUCUUCCUAUCCUGACUUCUCCUCCUUCACUGCUCUUCUUUCCUCUACACCUUCCUUAGCUAAUGAACUCACCGGCUGCUCUUCCCUUACUCUUUUAGCCGUACCCAAUUCAUAUCUCUCCGCCUCCGUUGAUUUCACGCGCCACCUCUCCCCUUUCUCUCUUGCCGACCUCCUUCGCUACCAUGUCCUUUUGCAGUACUUCUCCUGGUCUGAACUCCAUCAGAUUCCUACCUCCGGUGUACUGGUUACCACUCUUUUCCAAACCACUGGACGCGCCGCCUCCAAUUCCGGCACGGUUAACAUUACCCGGAAUCCCAUCACCAACACCGUCACCAUCAACUCUCCGCCCCCUUACUCAACUUCAAACGCCACCGUUUUAUCUCUGGUUAAAACGCUCCCCUAUAACAUCUCCAUCAUCUCUGUGAAUUCCCUUUUAGUCCCCGACGGGUUCAAUCUCAUGGCAUCGGAGACUCGGCCUCCAUUAGGCCUGAACAUAACGAAAGCACUAAUUGAUGGGCAUAAUUUUUUCGUUGCAGCGUCGAUGCUAUCGGCUUCUGGGGUGGUGCAAGAAUUCGAAGCCGACGAAAGAGGUGCCGGAAUUACUCUCUUCGUCCCAACAGACACUGCUUUUGCAGAUCUGCCGGCCACCGUGAGCAUACAGUCACUGCCAGCUGAGAAAAAAGCUGUGGUCUUGAAGUUCCAUGUCUUGCAUUCGUAUUACCCACUGGGUUCCCUCGAGUCGAUUGUGAACCCAGUCCAACCCACAUUGGCCACGGAGGCCACAGGCGCCGGUAGCUACACUCUUAACAUCUCGCGAGUUAAUGGGUCGUUGGCAAUCAAUACAGGGAUAGUUCAGGCAUCGGUGACGCAAACGGUUUUUGAUGAGAAUCCAGUGGCGAUAUUUGGGAUGUCAAAAGUGUUGUUGCCGAGAGAGAUUUUUGGUAAGAAUCCGAUAUCAACGAGCAAGCCAGGAAAUGAGGUGAUGGGCACAGCUCAGCCACCGGAUAUUUCUCUCUCGCCAGAGAGUUCUACCGGAUACGAUGGGCAACCUUCUCAUCUGUCGUCACCGCCAGGUUUUAGAGAAGACAUUAAAUCUGGAGGAAGAGUUGCAGCGGCCAUUAAUGGAUUACAGAGCCUGAUUCUUGCUCUGUGCUGUACAGUAUUGUAUGUAGCGGUAUGAGGUUUUUAAUUAUUUUUGGUGAUAAUUAAUGAUUUUUCUGUCUCCCAAUUGGUGCACGGUGAUUAAAUUUGGCUAAAACAGCAGCUUUUUUUUAUCAGUUUUUGAUUUUUUGAAAAAUUUUUCCUUCCCUAUUUUUAUUUAUUGGAUUUCUUGAGGAACAUGUCUAAUUGUGAAUUUCAUCUUGUCAAUGUUUCAAUAAUUUAUAUAAAAAAAUGCCAUUUUGUUUGUUUUCUUUUGAUCUCUCUUCUUUAUGUGUGCUAGUGAUAUAUUCUAACUGUGAAGUAAGUGAUAUAUUUAUGUCUGACAUUAAAAGCUCCAGUUUACUCCAAUUUAAUAUCUGCCAAGUGAGACUAAAAUAAGCAAGACUAGCUAACUGAUGGUAGUAAAAGUUGAAAGCUUGAAAUUGGAAUCAGGUUUACUGAGUGUCUGGAUUAGAAAGGAAAUGAGAUGUUGGAAAAUUUUGGGGUUUAGAUUCCCAUGAAAUUCAUGAAACCCAGUUUGCCUUCUUUCUUGUGUCAAGCGUUCUUUUCCUGGAAAAUUCUGAAUUCUUCUGGGUUUUUCUAGAUCAAAGUAAAUUUUAUUUAUUUAUUUAUUUAAAUGGUAAAUUCUGAUGCUGAGUUGAGUUUUGGGCUUUGGAGGUGAACAGUGUAGGGCCAGAUUUAGUGUGACCAAUGGCAUUGGAUGAGGGGAAUCUACAGUGACACUGCUCAGAUGCCCUUUCUGAUUACUGUGUGUGUGUGUUUCUUUUUGAUGAGUCCAAAAGCCAGUUAAGUUAAUCAAGUUAAAAAGCCUGAUUGUGCGAUCAUCAGCAUGACAACACCCAUCCUGGCCUAGACUUCUUGUUCUGUUUUUUUCUUUUCAAGGUAGAGAACAGAUAUU